rnacentral:lncRNA from 1 species
GUUAAAUUACAAUAAAGCCUCGUGCAGUUUGCAGCAAGCUCUCGAAUCCGCCUGGUGAUUGGGGUGACCGCGAACCUGGCCUGAGACCCCGGAUACUUGAGUUUUCGGGGGUCUAACAUUUUGGGGGCUCGUCCGCGAUUUGCGACCACCCUUCACCUGAGUGGAUUCGAUCUUGGAGGUUUCUGCUUCUGACAGACAUCUGAGUAUCAGUACUCACUACAGGCUGUUCUAAGUAGACUGCGAGCCCUAGACUUGCUAUGGAUGUGAACCAGUUCAGCUGAUAUGGACACCCCCUGUCUCUGCAACAGUGUCUGCUAACCAGAAGCCCCUAAUAAAUUCCCCAUUGCCUAAAUUCCUUUUUGCUUUUGACUAGCAUUUCAACCUUCUGGGGUCCCUAACUUCGUCCCAAAGUCAGCAGGAAGCAGUUUGGAAAAGAAUUUCGCCGUCCAUUUUCCCUGGUUAAAAUGCUAAGUCAAAAGGAACUCCCUUGCAUGGGGAUGACAGUAUCUAUCACUCCCUGAUGGGGAUGCUAGAGAGACAGCAAUUCCAUGAUUGGAAUUUCCAGAAAAGAAAAUGGGGGAAUGAAGGAACCAGCUCCCUUUUGGCAGCCAUUACAGCCGAACACAUGCUUGCCAUAAACCUGCCUUGGUCACGUAGAG